UACAGAGGUCUCGAGCGUUAGGCGGAAUCACUGGGCUUAAAGCGUGUGUAGGCGGGCCCCUAAGUACCUUGUGAAGCCCCACGGCUCACCCGUGGAACCGCUGGGUAUACUGGGGGCCUUGGGCCACUCAGGGGCGACUGGAACAAGCGGUGGAGCGGUGAAAUGCGUAGAUAUCGCUUGGAACGCCGAAGGUGAAAACAGGUCGCUGGGAGUGCGCCGACGCUGAGACACGAAAGCCAGGGGAGCAAACGGG
rnacentral:rRNA from 1 species